GGUUUGAUUAUGGCUCAGAUUGAACGCUGGCGGGAUGCUUUACAUGCAAGUCAGACGGCAGCACGGACUUCAGUCUGGUGGCGAGUAGCGAACGGGUGAGUAAUGUAUCGGAACGUGCCUAGUAGCGGGGAUAACUACGCGAAAGCGUAGCUAAUACCGCAUACGCCCUUCGGGGGAAAGCGGGGGACCUUCGGGCCUCGCACUAUUAAACAGCCGAUAUCGGAUUAGCUAGUUGGUGGGGUAACGGCUCACCAAGGCGACGAUCCGUAGCUGGUUUGAGAGGACGACCAGCCACACUGGGACUGAGACACGGCCCAGACUCUGCAGGAGGCAGCAGUGGGGAAUUUUGGACAAUGGGGAGGAAACCCUGAUCCAGCCAUCCCGCGUGUGCGAUGAAGGCCUUCAGUUUGUAAGCACUUUGGCAGGAAAGGCGGCACGGGAUAAUACCCGUGCAACUGACGAAAUGCCUGCAGAAUAAGCACCGGCUAACUACGUGCCAGCAGCCGCGGUAAUACGUAGGGUGCAAGCGUUAAUCGGAAUUACUGGGCGUAAAGCGUGCGCAGGCGGUUCGGAAAGAAGAUGUAAGGAAAUCAGAGCUUAACUUUGGAACUGCAUUUUUAACUACCGAGCUAGAGUGUGUCAGGGAGGUGGAAUUCCGCGUAUAGCAGUGAAAUGCGUAGAUAUGCGGAGAACACCGAUGGCGAAGGCAGCCUCUGGGAUAACACUGACGCUCAUGCACGAAAGCGUGGGGAGCAAACGAGUUAGAUGCCCUGGUAGUCCACGCCCUAAACGAUGUCAACUAGCUGUUUGGGGCCUUCGGGCCUUGGUAGCGCAACUAACGCGUG
rnacentral:misc_RNA from 1 species